CAUGCAAGUCGAACGGAAAGUGCUCUUCGGAGUGACUCGAGUGGCGAACGGGUGAGUAACACGUGGGUGAUCUGCCCUGCACUUUGGGAUAAGCCUGGGAAACUGGGUCUAAUACCGGAUAGGACCACGGCCUUCAUGGGUUGUGGUGGAAAGCUUUUGCGGUGUGGGAUGGGCCCGCGGCCUAUCAGCUUGUUGGUGGGGUAAUGGCCUACCAAGGCGACGACGGGUAGCCGGCCUGAGAGGGUGUCCGGCCACACUGGGACUGAGAUACGGCCCAGACUCCUACGGGAGGCAGCAGUGGGGAAUAUUGCACAAUGGGCGCAAGCCUGAUGCAGCGACGCCGCGUGAGGGAUGACGGCCUUCGGGUUGUAAACCUCUUUCAGUAGGGACGAAGCGUAAGUGACGGUACCUAUAGAAGAAGCACCGGCCAACUACGUGCCAGCAGCCGCGGUAAUACGUAGGGUGCGAGCGUUGUCCGGAAUUACUGGGCGUAAAGAGCUCGUAGGUGGUUUGUCGCGUUGUUCGUGAAAACUCACA
rnacentral:rRNA from 1 species